UACGAAGGGGGCUAGCGUUGUUCGGAUUUACUGGGCGUAAAGCGCGCGUAGGCGGCGUGACAAGUCACUUGUGAAAUCUCCGGGCUUAACUCGGAACGGUCAAGUGAUACUGUCGUGCUAGAGUACAGAAGGGGCAACUGGAAUUCUCGGUGUAGCGGUGAAAUGCGUAGAUAUCGAGAGGAACACCUGCGGCGAAGGCGGGUUGCUGGGCUGAUACUGACGCUGAGGCGCGAAAGCUAGGGGAGCAAACGGG
rnacentral:rRNA from 1 species